GGCGGACGGGUGAGUAAUGUCUGGGAAACUGCCUGAUGGAGGGGGAUAACUACUGGAAACGGUGGCUAAUACCGCAUAACGUCGCAAGACCAAAGAGGGGGACCUUCGGGCCUCUUGCCAUCAGAUGUGCCCAGAUGGGAUUAGCUUGUUGGUGAGGUAACGGCUCACCAAGGCGACGAUCCCUAGCUGGUCUGAGAGGAUGACCAGCCACACUGGAACUGAGACACGGUCCAGACUCCUACGGGAGGCAGCAGUGGGGAAUAUUGCACAAUGGGCGCAAGCCUGAUGCAGCCAUGCCGCGUGUAUGAAGAAGGCCUUCGGGUUGUAAAGUACUU
rnacentral:rRNA from 1 species